UUUUAUAAAAUUCUAUUUUCCUAUAGGUUCCACUUAUUAUAUAAAUUAAUAAUUUCUUAAAUUUGAAACUAAGUCCAUGUGAUAUGUCUAUGUGACUUAUGUUUAUAGUGUUGCUUGCUUCUUCUUGUGAUUGUUUUCGACUUGUAUUUCAUCUAUAACUCUUUUUGGAAUGUGAAAUUCCAGUUGAUAUUAUUGUUUUGGAAAAAAUAAUUAUUCAAUACUAUUAUCA
rnacentral:lncRNA from 1 species